rnacentral:rRNA from 1 species
UAUCAACGCUGAGGUGUGAUGACGAGCCACUACGGUGGUGAAGUAGUUGAUGCCAAGCUUCCAGGAAAAGCCUCUAAGCAUCAGGUAACAUUAAAUCGUACCCCAAACCGACACAGGUGGUCAGGUAGAGAAUACUCAGGCGCUUGAGAGAACUCGGGUGAAGGAACUAGGCAAAAUGGUGCCGUAACUUCGGGAGAAGGCACGCUGGCAUUAGGUAAAGAGACUUGCUCUCGGAGCUGAAGCCAGUCGCAGAUACCAGCUGGCUGCAACUGUUUAAUAAAAACACAGCACUGUGCAAACACGAAAGUGGACGUAUACGGUGUGACGCCUGCCCGGUGCUGGAAGGUUAAUUGAUGGGGUCAGCCGCAAGGCGAAGCUCUUGAUCGAAGCCCCAGUAAACGGCGGCCGUAACUAUAACGGUCCUAAGGUAGCGAAAUUCCUUGUCGGGUAAGUUCCGACCUGCACGAAUGGCGUAAUGAUGGCCAGGCUGUCUCCACCCGAGACUCAGUGAAAUUGAACUCGCUGUGAAGAUGCAGUGUACCCGCGGCAAGACGGAAAGACCCCGUGAACCUUUACUAUAGCUUGACACUGAACAUUGAGCCUUGAUGUGUAGGAUAGGUGGGAGGCAUUGAAGUGUGGACGCCAGUCUGCAUGGAGCCAACCUUGAAAUACCACCCUUUAAUGUUUGAUGUUCUAACUCGGCCCCAUAAUCUGGGGUGAGGACAGUGUCUGGUGGGUAGUUUGACUGGGGCGGUCUCCUCCCAAAGAGUAACGGAGGAGCACGAAGGUUAGCUAAUCACGGUCGGACAUCGUGAGGUUAGUGCAAAGGCAUAAGCUAGCUUGACUGCGAGAGUGACGGCUCGAGCAGGUACGAAAGUAGGUCUUAGUGAUCCGGUGGUUCUGAAUGGAAGGGCCAUCGCUCAACGGAUAAAAGGUACUCCGGGGAUAACAGGCUGAUACCGCCCAAGAGUUCAUAUCGACGGCGGUGUUUGGCACCUCGAUGUCGGCUCAUCACAUCCUGGGGCUGAAGUAGGUCCCAAGGGUAUGGCUGUUCGCCAUUUAAAGUGGUACGCGAGCUGGGUUUAGAACGUCGUGAGACAGUUCGGUCCCUAUCUGCCGUGGGCGUUGGAAGAUUGAGAGGGGCUGCUCCUAGUACGAGAGGACCGGAGUGGACGAAUCACUGGUGUUCGGGUUGUCAUGCCAAUGGCAUUGCCCGGUAGCUAAAUUCGGAAGAGAUAACCGCUGAAAGCAUCUAAGCGGGAAACUUGCCUCGAGAUGAGUCUUCCCUGGGGCUUUAAGCCCCCUGAAGGAACGUUAAAGACUAUGACGUUGAUAGGCUGGGUGUGUAAGUGCAGCGAUGCAUUGAGCUAACCAGUACUAAUGAUCCGUGAGGCUUAACCUU